rnacentral:rRNA from 1 species
GACGGAGGAUGCAAGUGUUAUCCGGAAUCACUGGGCGUAAAGCGUCUGUAGGUGGUUUAAUAAGUCCAACUGUUAAAUCUUGAGGCUCAACCUCAAAAAUCGCAGUCGAAAACUAUUAGGGCUAGAGUAUAGUAGGGGUAAAAGGGAAUUUCCAGUGGAGCGGUGAAAUGCGUAGAGAUUGGAAAAGAACACCGAUGGCGAAGGCACUUUACUGGGGCUAUUACUAACACUCAGAGACGAAAGCUAGGGUAGCAAUGGG